rnacentral:rRNA from 1 species
UAGCUAGUUGGUGAGGUAACGGCUUACCAAGGCGACGAUCUGUAGCGGGUCUGAGAGGAUGAUCCGCCACACUGGAACUGAGACACGGUCCAGACUCCUACGGGAGGCAGCAGUGGGGAAUUUUGGACAAUGGGGGCAACCCUGAUCCAGCCAUGCCGCGUGAGUGAAGAAGGCCUUCGGGUUGUAAAGCUCUUUCGGCCGGGAAGAAAUCGCAGGGGCCAAUACCCUGUGUGGAUGACGGUACCGGAAUAAGAAGCACCGGCUAACUACGUGCCAGCAGCCGCGGUAAUACGUAGGGUGCGAGCGUUAAUCGGAAUUACUGGGCGUAAAGCGUGCGCAGGCGGUUUUGUAAGACAGGCGUGAAAUCCCCGGGCUCAACCUGGGAACUGCGUUUGUGACUGCAAGGCUAGAGUACGGCAGAGGGGGGUGGAAUUCCACGUGUAGCAGUGAAAUGCGUAGAGAUGUGGAGGAACACCAAUGGCGAAGGCAGCCCCCUGGGUCGAUACUGACGCUCAUGCACGAAAGCGUGGGUAGCAAACAGGAUUAGAUACCCUGGUAGUCCACGCCCUAAACUAUGUCAACUAGGUGUUGGGUGGGUAAAACCAUUUAGUACCGUAGCUAACGCGUGAAGUUGACCGCCUGGGGAGUACGGCCGCAAGGUUAAAACUCAAAGGAAUUGACGGGGACCCGCACAAGCGGUGGAUGAUGUGGAUUAAUUCGAUGCAACGCGAAAAACCUUACCUACCCUUGACAUGCCAGGAACUUGCCAGAGAUGGCUUGGUGCCCGAAAGGGAGCCUGGACACAGGUGCUGCAUGGCUGUCGUCAGCUCGUGUCGUGAGAUGUUGGGUUAAGUCCCGCAACGAGCGCAACCCUUGUCGUUAAUUGCCAUCAUUUAGUUGGGCACUUUAGCGAGACUGCCGGUGACAAACCGGAGGAGGGUGGGGAUGACGUCAAGUCCUCAUGGCCCUUAUGGGUAGGGCUUCACACGUCAUACAAUGGUCGGUACAGAGGGUCGCCAAGCCGCGAGGUGGAGCCAAUCCCAGAAAGCCGAUCGUAGUCCGGAUUGCAGGCUGCAACUCGCCUGCAUGAAGUCGGAAUCGCUAGUAAUCGUGGAUCAGCAUGUCACGGUGAAUACGUUCCCGGGUCUUGUACAUACCGCCCGUCACACCAUGGGAGCGGGUUCCGCCAGAAGUAGGUAGCCUAACCGCAAGGAGGGCGCUUACCACGGCGGGGUUCGUGACUGGGGUGAAGUCGUAACAAGGUAGCCGUAGGGGAACCUGCGGCUG